UACGAAGGGGGCUAGCGUUGUUCGGAAUUACUGGGCGUAAAGCGCACGUAGGCGGAUCGAUUAGUCAGGGGUGAAAUCCCAGGGCUCAACCCUGGAACUGCCUUUGAUACUGUCGAUCUGGAGUAUGGAAGAGGUGAGUGGAAUUCCGAGUGUAGAGGUGAAAUUCGUAGAUAUUCGGAGGAACACCAGUGGCGAAGGCGGCUCACUGGUCCAUUACUGACGCUGAGGUGCGAAAGCGUGGGGAGCAAACAGG
rnacentral:rRNA from 1 species